rnacentral:lncRNA from 1 species
UACUUACUAGAGUCUUUAAGUCAAAAUCACUCUUAAAUCCACUUAAGUCUUAAAGACAAUCACACAAAGCAACAAAAACAACCUAGACUCUAAAAUCGGACCCCUAUGAGAGCUUCCUAUUCGCACAAGAUAUAAGCUAUCUAGUCGAGAAUUGGAAAAGCAAUUAAGGUGAGGUCUCCUAGGUGAGGCUUAGAUGUUGGAUCUAAG